rnacentral:rRNA from 1 species
UGAGGAAUAUUGGUCAAUGGACGCAAGUCUGAACCAGCCAAGUAGCGUGCAGGAUGACGGCCCUAUGGGUUGUAAACUGCUUUUAUAUGGGGAUAAAGUGGGGAACGUGUUCCCUUUUGCAGGUACCAUAUGAAUAAGGACCGGCUAAUUCCGUGCCAGCAGCCGCGGUAAUACGGAAGGUCCAGGCGUUAUCCGGAUUUAUUGGGUUUAAAGGGAGCGUAGGCUGUUUGUUUAGCGUGUUGUGAAAUGUAAGAGCUCAACUUUUAGAUUGCAGCGCGAACUGGCAGACUUGAGUGCGCACAACGUAGGCGGAAUUCAUGGUGUAGCGGUGAAAUGCUUAGAUAUCAUGACGAACUCCGAUUGCGAAGGCAGCUUACGGGAGCGCAACUGACGCUAAAGCUCGAAGGUGCGGGUAUCGAACAGG